rnacentral:lncRNA from 1 species
CAACAGAGCAGCAUAUUGUUUUAUAACUGCGAAAACUGUACAGUAUUGUUUAGUGUGAGUUCAAUAUAAUAUUAUCUCAUAAUGGCUAAUAGUGAAAAGAGUGUGGAAAAAAGAAAAAAAUGGGAAGGAUGUACGAGAUGAAAAGCAGAGAACAAAAAAGCAAAAACAAAACAGGAAUAAUCCUGUGACUAAACGCCUGUACUUGGUGACAUCCAUUGUUUUCUUCUUUAAAAAGUGGACAUUACGCGACUAAUUUUUUAUUUUCUUAAAAACAAUUUAACUCUUAUGCUUUGUUUACAUUAGUUUAUAUUAUCAAUACAUUUUUCUAUCAUUA